UAUUGGAAAAUGUGCCUGGUAUAAA
rnacentral:rRNA from 1 species